GCUUAACUGGCCCUCUAUUGAUCAUUUUAGCUUGCAAAACCAAACUGUUUAAAUGGUUAAACAUUAUAGAUAUUUUCAGUCCUUUUUGACUACUAGCUAUAAUGAGUAUUUACACGAUCUUUUUGAACAGAUUUAGUUAUUAAUAAUAACAUCCUUACUACAUCGAUUGCAGCAUGACUGUUAUUGUGUCCAAAGAAUUGCCCUUGUGUAUUGAUCUUCUGGUUUCUAUUUUACUGUCCUAAAUCUAGACCAUGUAGAUUGAUACUGCCUAGGCUGUACUAAUGAGAAUAGAUGGAUACUGUCACUGGGACUAUACGGCUUUGUAGUUAAGUAGUUUCCAGUUAUUUAAUUGUGAUCCCAUCAUUGUGUGAAAAAGGCAAAGGCAUGAUACAUCUUUAUGAUUCUAUCAUGAACAAAAUCUUUAGAUUCAGUGGUUUUACUAGCAACUCAGAUUUGAAUAGAGAUGAUUGCGAGUUGAAUCAAGUUAUUUAGAUGCAUCUUAACAGCUAAGUCUUUUUAUUUAAAUGAGAAAAAGAAAUUAAGAAAUUGUUGGACCAUAUUUAAAUGGGACAGUUCAAACCUCUAUAAGUACAACUAGAAUUUUAGACCUGGCGAUUUAAUGGUGCUAGAAGCAACAAGCGUCUUCCAACUACGAACUAAGCAAGACUACCAGGUUCUUUUAUGAGUUGUUGAUGGUUGAUGAGGUUUCAAGGGUCCAUUAGAAGUAGACAGCUUCCAUAUAGACUUGUUGCAAGCACUGGUGCUGGUGUUUAGGUAACAGGUAUCCAGGUGGUUCCUUAUUGUGUCCUGCCUGUUGUCAAUGCUGUCCAAAAAUACUUUGAUGCUGUAGGUCAUCGGUUGCACCUUUUCAUUAGUAUCACUUGCAGGCAUUGCUUAUCAUAUUGAGUUCUCAAGUGGUCCAGUUAGCUCAACUGUCUGUUAUGCAGCAUGCCUUUUUUCUCCUUUUUGCCCUUUUCUUUUCUGGGAAAAGCUAAAAUAGCAGAUGAUUUGGAAUUAAAGGAAGUCCUUAUAUCAUUGAUAUAGGUUCUUAGAUUUCUGUAUGAUAGAAUUAGUUAUGGAUCCCCAGUUAUAUUUCAGAAGAGUAUAACUUUGUCAAUUGAAGGGCUUUAAAUUGCACUUGAACUUGUCCUUGUGAUUAGUAUUGUUUAUAUAGCUCUUUUUAUUUUUAUUAUUAUCUGCCCCCACUUCCCACGAAAAUAGAAGGCUUUUUGCUAGCACUAUGCCGAGAAUGGGUUGUGAUUAGACUGAUUUGACUGGUGGGCUGUAAAAGGAUUAUUGCAGGCAGGAAUGGUCAAGACACUGAGUAAGGAGAUGACAGCCUUGAGGUUGCCCUUGGCCAGCUUAAUUUUCUCAGUACUGGGCCUAGGUUUGCUAUUGUGGGUUGGGUAUGGUCAGUUCUGGAUAACUGCAUGUCUGGAUCCUCUAUCAUUUUGCACCAAUUGAAGCGAACGCCAAAAGAAUAACAUUGGAGAUUCUUUACAGAACCCCCAAUCACCUUCCCCCCACUGCACACACGAAAAAGAAAGCAUAAUGUGGGAUUUGAUUCAUAAUAAUGAGGUCAACGCUAUAAAGUUAGGACUUGCUUGGUUCAGGUCAACGCUGUCAUGCUCAUUCUCUGUUUGGCUAGCCUCUCUUAUGGCUGCUGCCACCAUUUCCAGAUGUCCAUUUUGCAGCCUUGGCCACUCUUUUGCUCCUCAGGUGGAGCAGUUAUGAUACUC